CUCGUCUCCCCCAUCUCCUCUGCUUCCUCCGCCGGAUGGCACCGAAACCGGUGACGAGCCCCGUCCCCGUCCAGUGGUACCCGGCGCUCUCCGCGCUGUUGCUCGUCGGCGGCCUCUUCUUCACUGCCUUCUUCUUUAUUCAUUAAACAAAGAUUUGAGAGAAAUUUGAGAGUCCUGCACCAAAUGUACCAAAAUUAGUUGAGAGAAUCGAUUUUAUGUAUACGGGCUACAAUCUUCCGCCGAUGAUGGCUUCGCAUACCAUAGGGUAAAUAUCCUAAUCUAGCAAAGGAUUUACGGUUAGAUGUUUAUUAUUGGAUCUUGUUUGUGCUGUAAGCUUUCAUGGAAUGCGUCGUGCGCUUGUUGUUGACUGAGAGUCUCUUUGUAUUGUUUGACUGGAAGAUUUCUUUUGGGAUCUUUAUUAGAUAAUUUUUUGACGAUAUAUAAUAUGUAGAGCGUUACUUGGUUUAUUGUAGAACUUGUGAAAUCUAACAUAUGACCUUUGCCUUGAUUCAACAAUCUGACAAAGUGAAAAAAGAUUGAAGUGGAUUUGCCUCGAUUUGCAGUACUUAGUCAUCAUUGUGAUUCAGAUAGAUAUCACCUCAGUCACAUAUGAAAUGUAUAGAUUGAUUCAUUUCUUAUAGAACCGGUAGAUUCAUAUGGACCCAAAUUUUAUUUUAUGUUACUUAUUAUGUAUAUAACCCAGUGGUUCUAGUUGCAUUUCUGUCAUUUGGCAGCGCUGUAGUGAAAUAUUAUUUCACUUCUAUAGGGCUGCAAGAGUGCGUUUUCACAUCCAUUCCCUUUUCUGUUCAUAAUUUGUUUGUUCACUUGCUAAUCUUAAUUGGAAGCUCCGCAAAAUCAUAUAAACCUCUCCUUUUAGUCUUCAUUGUGUUUUUUCUUGGUGAUUUUGAAAAGAAUGUAUAGGCGUUGUUCAGGUUGCUCUUGGUAUAUUAUAUUUUAGUUGGAUUAAUUUAUUUCUUGGGAGAAUGACUAACCAAGUUAUUCAGAGAAAGGCAAUUGUGUUGAAGAUAUUACGGUCAUAAUCGUCAAGUAAAAUUGCUGGUAAUCGAGAAUAUGAUCAGCUGAGAUUUGAUGUUAAACUUGUAGCAUCCGGAUCUUCAUAAGGGAAAACAGGAAUGUCAUGUGAUGCUAAGAGUAGGUGGAAUUCGAUGACGUUUUGGAUAGACCUGUUUUGAGGUUUUUGUUUUAAGAUGAAUCUGAUUAUUCUAUUGUUGAGAUAAAAAUCCCUGUCUUAGAGCAGCAUUGUUGUGUUCAAGGCAGUGAUUGCUUUUGCUUCCUAAUUCUCUUAGGAUCUAUAGUGGGAUAUAAUGAAGUUUGCUCCCUAAUUUUCAAUCCACGGACUUACAAAAGAUAUAAAGGAGGUAGUAGCAUAAUUUGUAAUUUCCCAUUAGUUUUACUGAGGAAUUUAAUGGCGGGUUGGAUUUGUAUGUAGGGACAACUGAGUUUCUACAUGAUCCAUCUGAUUAAAGGACGACUACAUAUGACUUAUUGUGCCAUUGACUGUACUUAAUUAUAGGAUCAGUACUUCAGACUCUUUGAAUCAGGUCAUGACAGAUCGUACUUCAGCAACUCUGUGUGCCUGUGGACUAACAAGUUCCUUGAUGAGCUGCUACCAGGAUGAUGUUUUUGGGUUAGAUCCACACUAGAACAGCUGGUCAACCUUGGGCUUGUUUCCUUGCACGUUGACAAGGACAUCAAACCAUUUCAGUAGAGAAGAACACAAUGUUCCAGUAGUCCCACAUUGAUAGUUGAUUGCUAAUUGAAUAAAUACAUUUAGCUAGAUGAGACUACUGUCGCAUAAGAUAUCUUCAAAUGCAACAUAGUUGAUAUAUUAAUAUUUGAUUUUGGGACUGCAGUUCAGAGGAUGGAACAGAAAUUUCCUAUAAUACUUGAUUACUUUCAUGUUUAGGUUUUGAUUUUCAAUUCUUAUUGGGUUUGCCUUUCUUAUCAUUGCUAUUAACAAGAAAUCUUGCUAGCACGUCUUCAAAAAUCAACCUUGCUAUACCUUUAUCUAUGAUUAGGAACAAUUGUUGACUUAAGUAAUUUUCUAACCAGGUGUUACAAUUCAACACUUCAGAGACCA